rnacentral:lncRNA from 1 species
UUUGGUAUAAUAUUGGAAGACUUGAAGAUCAAGCUAUAUACCAAUUUUGAGUUGAAGUUAAUAGUUAAAUAAGGAGAAAUCACUGUUGAAAGAUUUACAUUAACUUUCAAGUUGGCAGCCAAGUAAUAUUAGUGUGGUUUUUGGGCAUUUUUUCACAAUCUAUAAGUUGGAUUGGAGUGAAUUCUUAUUAAGCAUAUAAAAGACUUAUAGUGGCAUUUGCAUGUAAAAUUUUGCUUCAAGUGAAUGGUUAGAUUACAAGUUACAAUUUGCUAAAGCUUAUUGAUUAAGAUUAAAGUUUGCAAAGAAAGUUUGAAAAUAUCUAAUUAUUGAAGUAAUAAGACAAUUAGAAUUUAUGUAUUAUUGAGACUACUAAGAGUGUUUUUGAGUACUCUGUAUCAAAAUUAAGUACUUUUGAAUUAAAAUUCAAAUUACAUUCUUCUCAUAAAGGUGAAACAUAUUAGGAUUUUUGGAUAUUUGUAAAAUAUAAUCCCACCUUCUACAACCAGAUGCCUGGUGCAUUCCCAAAUAUGACAAUACAUAAUAUGACAAUGCACAUGGGAGCUAGCAAAGAAUCUUGUAAAUACAACAAAGAAGGUUGAGGCCUUUCAUCAACAACAUUCAAGAAUUGUAAAGAUCCAUGAAAGAUGAUGACCGCUCUUUGUGGAACUCAUUCAUAGAAGGAGGCAUAAUAUCACGAACAUAUAGAUUUAUUCCAAUAGUUAUUUAUAUGAUUAGGUAGAAGUAGAUAAAUAUAAAUUAAUUUCAUAAAGUCUUCUAGAAAAGCUUCCUAAAAGCUUUAUAGAUGUAGUUUUGACUUCAAAUAUGUUUGUAGGUUAGAA